UNCAAGUGCUUUGCUGGUACACACCGGGA
rnacentral:piRNA from 1 species